UGGGGGAUAUUGCACAAUGGGCGAAAGCCUGAUGCAGCGACGCCGCGUGGGGGAUGAAGGCUUUCGGGUUGUAAACCUCUUUCGCUAUCGAACAAGGCCCGCUUAGGGUGGGUUGAGGGUAGGUGGAGAAGAAGCGCCGGCUAACUACGUGCCAGCAGCCGCGGUAAUACGUAGGGCGCGAGCGUUGUCCGGAAUUAUUGGGCGUAAAGGGCUUGUAGGCGGCUUGUUGCGCCUGCUGUGAAAACGCGGGGCUUAACUUCGCGCGUGCAGUGGGUACGGGCAGGCUUGAGUAUGGUAGAGGUGACUGGAAUUCCAGGUGUAGCGGUGGAAUGCGAAGAUAUCUGGAGGAACACCGAUGGCGAAGGCAGGUCACUGGGCCAUUACUGACGCUGAGGAGCGAAAGCAUGGGUAGCGAACAGG
rnacentral:rRNA from 1 species